rnacentral:rRNA from 1 species
CCUACGGGCGGCAGCAGUGGGGAAUAUUGGACAAUGGGGGCAACCCUGAUCCAGCCAUGCCGCAUGUGUGAAGAAGGCCCUCGGGUUGUAAAGCACUUUCAGUGAGGAAGAACGCCUGGUGGUUAAUACCCAUCAGGAAAGACAUCACUCACAGAAGAAGCACCGGCUAACUCCGUGCCAGCAGCCGCGGUAAUACGGAGGGUGCGAGCGUUAAUCGGAAUUACUGGGCGUAAAGCGCGCGUAGGUGGCUUGAUAAGCCGGUUGUGAAAGCCCCGGGCUCAACCUGGGAACGGCAUCCGGAACUGUCAAGCUAGAGUGCAGGAGAGGAAGGUAGAAUUCCCGGUGUAGCGGUGAAAUGCGUAGAGAUCGGGAGGAAUACCAGUGGCGAAGGCGGCCUUCUGGACUGACACUGACACUGAGGUGCGAAAGCGUGGGUAGCAAACAGGAUUAGAUACCCUUGUAGUC